GCUGGGCGUGGUGAUGCGCGCCUGUAAUCCCAGUUAUUUGGGAGGCUGAGGUGGGAGAAUCACUUGAACUCAGGGGGCAGAGGUUGCAGUGAGCAGAGAUAGAGCCACUGAACUCCAGCCUGGGUGACAGAGUGAGACCCUGUCUCAA
ensembl:misc_RNA Metazoa_SRP Metazoan signal recognition particle RNA